UACGUAGGGUGCGAGCGUUAUUCGGAAUUACUGGGCGUAAAGCGUGCGCAGGCGGUUUGUUAAGUCUGCUGUGAAAUCCCCGAGCUCAACUUGGGAAUUGCAGUGGAUACUGGCAAGCUGGAGUACGGUAGAGGAAGGUGGAAUUCCCGGUGUAGCAGUGAAAUGCGUAGAGAUCGGGAGGAACACCAGUGGCGAAGGCGGCCUUCUGGACCAGUACUGACGCUCAUGCACGAAAGCGUGGGGAGCAAACAGG
rnacentral:rRNA from 1 species